GAUAUGUAGAAUGACACAACAAUUGAUGAGUAAUUUAGGAGAUCCAAUAACUAAAAAAAAAAAGACUGGGGACAAGUUCAUGGAAAGAGUAAUCAACUAAGCCUUAUAACAUAAAAUUGACAAAUAGAGAAGGCAUGCAAUCCAGUAGAAUAGAGUGCAAAAGAGGUAGAAGACUAAUCGUUUCAAGACAUGUUGAGCCACAACAGCAAUAACAUUGUGACAAAAAACGUCGGUGUAGACUGCAGAAGAUCUUCAAUGACGGAUCAAGCUGUAUAGACUUUUUUUUACCCUCAUAUACUGAAUAGUCAUUUAAGGUAUACAGUGCCAACGUAAGAGAGAAAGGUGGUCUAUCAUUUUGGAGUUUCUUUCCACCUCUGGAGAAUUGCUCAGGAAAUCUGGCUAACAUACCAAAUAAAUCAAAUGGAUUUAA
ensembl:lncRNA CRPPA-AS1 CRPPA antisense RNA 1